rnacentral:rRNA from 1 species
GUGGGGAAUAUUGGACAAUGGGCGAAAGCCUGAUCCAGCCAUGCCGCGUGUGUGAAGAAGGUCUUCGGAUUGUAAAGCACUUUAAGUUGGGAGGAAGGGCAGUAAGUUAAUACCUUGCUGUUUUGACGUUACCGACAGAAUAAGCACCGGCUAACUUCGUGCCAGCAGCCGCGGUAAUACGAAGGGUGCAAGCGUUAAUCGGAAUUACUGGGCGUAAAGCGCGCGUAGGUGGUUUUGUAAGUUGGAGGUGAAAUCCCCGGGCUCAACCUGGGAACUGCCUCCAAAACUGCAUGACUAGAGUACGGUAGAGGGUAGUGGAAUUUCCUGUGUAGCGGUGAAAUGCGUAGAUAUAGGAAGGAACACCAGUGGCGAAGGCGACUACCUGGACUGAUACUGACACUGAGGUGCGAAAGCGUGGGGAGCAAACAGGAUUAGAUAUCCGAGUAGUCC